rnacentral:rRNA from 1 species
UCAUGGCUCAGGAUGAACGCUAGCGACAGGCUUAACACAUGCAAGUCGAGGGGGCAGCAUAAAAGUAGCAAUACUUGGUGGCGACCGGCGCACGGGUGAGUAACGCGUAUGCAACCUACCUAUCAGAGGGGAAUAACCCGGCGAAAGUCGGACUAAUACCGCAUAAAACAGGGGCACCGCAUGGUGAUAUUUGUUAAAGAAAUUCGCUGAUAGAUGGGCAUGCGUUCCAUUAGGUAGUUGGUGAGGUAACGGCUCACCAAGCCGACGAUGGAUAGGGGAACUGAGAGGUUGGUCCCCCACACUGGUACUGAGACACGGACCAGACUCCUACGGGAGGCAGCAGUGAGGAAUAUUGGUCAAUGGGCGGGAGCCUGAACCAGCCAAGUCCGCGUGAAGGAAGAAGGAUCUAUGGUUACGUAAACUUCUUUUGCGAGGGGAAAUAAAGUGCAGGACGUGUCCUUGUUUUGUAUCGUACCCUGAGAAUAAGGAUCGGCUAACUCCGUGCCAGCCGCCGC